rnacentral:rRNA from 1 species
UACGUAGGGCGCAAGCGUUGUCCGGAAUUAUUGGGCGUAAAGAGCUCGUAGGCGGCUUGUCACGUCGGGUGUGAAAGCCCGGGGCUUAACCCCGGGUCUGCAUUCGAUACGGGCAGGCUAGAGUGUGGUAGGGGAGAUCGGAAUUCCUGGUGUAGCGGUGAAAUGCGCAGAUAUCAGGAAGAACACCCGUGGCGAAGGCGGCUCUCUGGACCACAACUGACGCUGAGGCGCGAAAGCUAGGGGAGCAAACAGG